CCUACGGGAGGCAGCAGUGGGGAAUAUUGGACAAUGGGUGAAAGCCUGAUCCAGCAAUGCCGCGUGAGUGAUGAAGGCCUUAGGGUUGUAAAGCUCUUUUACCAGGGAUGAUAAUGACAGUACCUGGAGAAUAAGCUCCGGCUAACUCCGUGCCAGCAGCCGCGGUAAUACGGAGGGAGCUAGCGUUAUUCGGAAUUACUGGGCGUAAAGCGUACGUAGGCGGUUAUUCAAGUCAGAGGUGAAAGCCCGGGGCUCAACCCCGGAACUGCCUUUGAAACUAGAUAACUAGAGUCUUGGAGAGGUUAGUGGAAUUCCGAGUGUAGAGGUGAAAUUCGUAGAUAUUCGGAAGAACACCAGUGGCGAAGGCGACUAACUGGACAAGUACUGACGCUGAGGUACGAAAGCGUGGGGAGCAAACAGGAUUAGAUACCCUGGUAGUCCACGCCGUAAACGAUGAUAACUAGCUGUCCGGGCACUUGGUGCCUGGGUGGCGCAGCUAACGCAUUAAGUUAUCCGCCUGGGGAGUACGGUCGCAAGAUUAAAACUCAAAGGAAUUGACGG
rnacentral:rRNA from 1 species